UCGGAAACUGGGGAACUUGAGUGCAGAAGAGGACAGUGGAACUCCAUGUGUAGCGGUGAAAUGCGUAGAUAUAUGGAAGAACACCAGUGGCGAAGGCGGCUGUCUGGUCUGUAACUGACGCUGAGGCUCGAAAGUAUGGGUAGCAAACAGGAUUAGAUACCCUGGUAGUCCAUACCGUAAACGAUGAAUGCUAAGUGUUGGAAGGUUUCCGCCCUUCAGUGCUGCAGCUAACGCAUUAAGCAUUCCGCCCUGGGGAGUACGGCCGCAAGGCUGAAACUCAAAGGAAUUGACGGGGGCCCGCACAAGCGG
rnacentral:rRNA from 1 species